AUCCCCAUCCAGACUUCUACAAGAAUCGGACUUCGCCUGAACUUUCGUAGCAGAUGGAUUCUGGACGAACUUCUACAACAGACCGGCUCUAGCAACUGGAUUUCUACAACGGUCGAUCACCUUCGGUGUCUGCCGUACCUCCCCAGCCAUCAACCCUCAAUAGUGUCUGUCGGACUUCAACAACACCAAUCAGACAUCCACAGGAUCCUCCAGACUCCGCCAGCGGACGAACCUCCCCAACGCCAUCCGAAGUCUACUGCUGGUCGACCCUUUGCCGAAUUCCUCA
rnacentral:lncRNA from 1 species